ensembl:lncRNA TPRXL tetrapeptide repeat homeobox like (pseudogene)
AAAAGACUAGUCUCAGUCCCACUGUGCCCUCUCCAAUAGCACUGAGUUUGUUUCCAUGCUAUGUGUGAACAGGACUGAGAACUUGCCCCAGGCUACCAGCCUCCCAGCUGAGAAAGCAAGCAGGGCUUUCAUGCCUCCCUGCCUGUCGAGUCUGCACACGGGUUUCACGCCCUCCCCUGUGUUCUGGCCAGGAGACUUUGCGUUCGGUUGGAAUUGUUACAGAGUUCAGCUGGAGGUUUCCUUCUCCCUGUGGCCUUUUCCCAGUUCCUCUGGCAGCCCUCCUCAAGGACCCCUGUGAGAUAAGUCAGAGGUGACUUUCCUGGGGACCCAGAGAACCCACAAGGCUUUUCCCACUGCUUACUGUAUUUUGCUCGGCUCUCUAAAUUGAAUCAAUUGCAGAGCAGGACCCAGGAUGCAAGACCCUAGGCAUCCCCAAGGCCUUCCACUGUCCCCAGGCCUUCCAAAGAGACAGCGGCAGGACCGCACAAUCUACAACUGGAAACAGCAGGAAGUGCUAGAAAAUCACUUUAAGGAGGAACAGUACCCAGACUAUGACACACGACAAGAGCUGGCGGAGAUGCUCAAUCUCAGGGAGUACCAAGUGCAGGUGUGGUUCAAGAAUCGCCGGGCCAAACGCUCUCGGGAGCGGUGGUUCCAGAAGCAGCUCCAGCAGCUCCAGAAGCAUCCUCAGCAGCAGCAUCCUCAGCAGCAGCAUCCCCAGCAGCAGCUCCAGCAGCAGCAGCCCCAGCAGCAGCCCCAGCAGCAGCAGCCCCAGC